UUCCGGGAGAGACCGCUUUGGCGGCGCCGAAGGGGAAUGCGCAGACAACUCUCAGGCAAAAGGACCGGC
rnacentral:ncRNA from 2 species